rnacentral:rRNA from 1 species
GGCUACACACGUGCUACAAUGGGUAGUACAGAGAGUCGCAAAGCCGCGAGGUGGAGCUAAUCUCAGAAAACUAUUCUUAGUUCGGAUUGUACUCUGCAACUCGAGUACAUGAAGUUGGAAUCGCUAGUAAUCGCGAAUCAGCAAUGUCGCUGGUGAAUACGUUCUCGGGUCUUGUACACACCGCCCGUCACACCACGAGAGUUGGUUGCACCUGAAGUAGCAGGCCUAACCGUAAGGAGGGAUGCUCCGAGGGUGUGAUUAGCGAUUGGGGUGAAGUCGUAACAAGGUAUCCGUACGGGAACGU